rnacentral:rRNA from 1 species
CUUUCAUUUGGGGGGUUCUGUUUUGAUAAGGCAAGGAGAAGGGAAGGAGCUCGAGCGGCGGAGGAGAGGAAGCGAUUUCUUAUGUUCAUGGCGAUUCCGGGCUAUUCCACCGCCCGAUUUCGAUUUCUCCUCCCUUUUCUAUUCGAUCCCCGCUGCCGCGGUUGGUUGUCCUUGUCUCUCGCGUUUCCCUGUGUUGUGGCUAUGUAGUUCCGGAUCUAGGUAAGUUUUGGAUCCGUGGUUCAUCUGUUAUUGGUGUUGUCCGUGGAUCCGUGGUAGGUGCAUGUUGCUGCCGUGUUUGUUUCUAGUCCGCCAUGCCUAGCGCUCCAUUUCCCAUCCUUCUGCCCGCCUGAGUUGUGUAGGAGCUUGUUGUAUGUGGGGAGUUCUAAUCCAUCUCCUUGUUGUGGUCCUUUUCUCCCCUGCUUGUAGAUGUAGAGGUAGGCGUAGGUUGUUUAUUCUGAUGUAGAUGUAGAGGUAGGCGAAGUUAUAGUUGCAGCGGUGGAUUCGCCCUAUCAAUUUUAUUUCUGCUGGCCUGGGUGUCUGUUCCUUUGUCGUUAGAUGUAGUUGCAGAUGGUCUAGCAUGGGUUUCUGCCUGCUUCUGCAGUUUACUUGUAGUUGCUGUUAGCUGCUGAUGUUUGCUGUUGUAAUCCCUGGAAUUCAAUAUGAUUUUUUUUGUUAGAUGUAGGUGUUCAUUUCACCCGGUACCUGAAUCUCUCUGAAUUUGUGUGUACUAGGCUGCAGUGUUGUUGUAGUGUUAGUCCAGGAAUCUCUCUGAAUUUCAUGCUUCUUUACGGUGUAUUUUUACUCCAGACUUGAAGUGUAACUUACCCCUAGAAUUACAGUGUAUCCCCAUCCAGAAUUACUGUGUAAUUUAACUCAUAAUUACAGUGUAACUUGCCCCAUAAUUGCAGUGCAUUUACAGUGUAGCCUGAUGCUUCUUUAUUUGUUGUUACUCUGUAAUUUGUCCUAGUAGUACUGUGUAUUUCCCCCCUAAUUACAGUGUAAUCCUGAUGCUUCUUUCUUCAGUGUAAAUUUUGCUAUAAUUACUGUGUAACAUGUCGUAGAAUUACACUGUAGGUUACCCUGCAAUUACAGUGCAAUAUACCGUGAUUACCGUGUGUUUUUUGUGCUUCUUUAUUUGUAAUUACUGUGUAAUUUUCCCUAGAGUUACUGUGUAAUAUUUUCCCCCGUUACCGUGUAAUUCUCAUGCUUCUUUCAGUGUAAAUUGCAGUGUAUAUUUUUCAGUGUAAUACUGCGCCAGUUUCUUUGUUAUUUACAUUGUAAUUUUUCUCAGAUGUUUUGCAUGCAUUCAUGUAGUUUUGCACUGUAAUAUCCCCCAUUCUUACUAUAUAAUUUAUCUUCAGUUUUUGGCAGUGUACUUCCUCUACCUUUUCAUUGUAAGUUGCCCUAAUUAUUGUGUAUUUUGACUCAGAGUUUCACUGUAUUUAGGUUGGUUUUUACACUGUAUUUUAAGUGAUUCUUGCACUGUAUUAAUAUGCCCCAUUAUUCUAUAAUUCCCCUGAUUGCUGCCUUUCAGUGUAUUUGUUGUGAGAUUUCCCUUGUAAUUGAGCCCCAUUACUCUAUAAUUUUCAACUUUCUUUAAUUUCUUUUUUUUUCGUGUGUCAUGUAUUCUGUUUUGUUAGGUUUAGGUCAAUGGGGAGACUACGGAAAGUCUCUCACAAGGAUGUUUCGGUAGUUUCUUCUAUCGUGAGUGCUGAUUCUUGGAAUGAUCAUUUUGUGCCUAAUGACUUUGCGGAAGAUGGUUCUAAUGCUAUGUCUUUGGAUCUUUCUAGUGAUGAUAGAGGGUUUGAUAAAGCUAUUUUUCAAGAAUUUCAUUGCAAUCCCCAUGCUUCCUUUUUGUAAUUGCAGUGUAAUAUACCCUAGAAUUGCAGUGUAAUUUAGCCCAGAUUUUAGUGUAAUCCCAAUGCUUCAUUUUUUUAAUUACAGUGUAAUUUUCCUAGAAUUGCAGUGUAAACUCCAUGCUUCAUUUAUGUAAUUACAGUGUAAUUUUCCCCAUAAUUACAGUUUAAACUUCAUGCUUUAUUUAUGUAAUUAUAGUGUAAUUAUUCCCCGAAUUGCAGUGUAAUUUUUCCUAGAACUUCAGUGUAAAUUUCAUUUUUUUUCUAAACAAAGUAGUGUAAUUUUCCUGCUGAACCUCUAUUACUUGAUAUUUGAGCUUCAUUCUUGUUCAGCUUUGCUUGAAUUACAGUGGAUUUUAACUCUGUUUAGGGCGAUUAUCCUGUGUAGUUCCUUGGUUAUUAUCAUUGUAAUCCACUAGUGUGAUUAUUCAUUUCCUUCACUGUCCAUGUGUACGAGCACUGUAACAAGCUCUGCUUUUCAUUGUCAAUAUUAAUGCCUUCAUCUGAUAGGACUUGUGUUCUUUAUGCUGAUAGGUAUGUCUUUGUAUUCAUGACUUCGUCUGAACUUGCAUGUAUCUCUGUAAUCCACUGAGUUCAUGUUAGUUACAUUGCCCUGUAUCGCAGCAAAGAUUUUUUCAUGUGUACUACAGCAAAGUUUUUUUCAUGUAAUUUCCCCAUGGUUCAUGCUACCUACAUUGCCCUAUACUGCAGCAAAGUUUUUUUCAUGUGUACCUUACACUGGAAUUCGUGUUGGUGUAGUGUUUUGACAGUGAAAUAUUAACAGUUUUACCUUCUGACAGUUAGAAUUUCCCCCCUGAUGAUUCCCACAUUUUCACUAGAUUGUAUGAUGUUUUUUUUUCUACAGGCUAGUUCAUGUAGGAUGUGUAUCUAGAGCAGCGGGGUGAGGAAAAACACGGAAGAGUUCAAUAGAAGUGUGAUCAAAAGGAGUAGGACAUUACGUGAGCUGUGGACCGUCUCUUGGUUGAUCUUCCUCUGCCCUCCACCAAUUAUUCGGAUCUGUUCUUCCCCCUUGCUUCUCUCCAGGUGAUUUGUUGUCCAGGAAAGGAAAAAAGAGCAUGGGCAACGGUCCAGGUGGGUUUCGUGAUAGUUGCCUUGUUUUGUUUUGGUUAUUAGUUAGAACCGGGUCAGAUUUUAGCCGCCCGACCCAUUUUUUUGGAAAUACAAGCAUACAAUUGUCCAUGGUAUUUGGACAUAGGUGUCAGCGCUUGAUUUGUCAGGAAAUUUGACUAUAAUAUAGUGCUUUUUACCUUUGUAUUGGAUGACUUUCUUCGUUAUUUAACUUGUUUACCCCUAACCCGGGUCUGAUGUUCACCCCUGACCCGUUUAGGCGUUCUUUUUUGCUUUAUGUUGAUUUUCCUGCUCAUACAGGUGUAAUGUGUUGAUUGGUCAGGAAAUUUGACUGUUUUUGAAUUGAAAAACAGUCAAAUGUCAAAUAGACAGUCC